UACGAGGGGUGCAAGCGUUGCCCGGAAUUAUUGGGCGUAAAGCGCACGUAGGCGGCUUGGCAAGUCGGAUGUGAAAUCCCUCGGCUCAACCAAGGAAGUGCAUCCGAAACUGCUGAGCUUGAGUACUUAAGAGGAUCGCGGAAUUCCCGGUGUAGAGGUGAAAUUCGUAGAUAUCGGGAGGAACACCAGUGGCGAAGGCGGCGAUCUGGGAAGAUACUGACGCUGAGGUGCGAAAGCGUGGGGAGCAAACAGG
rnacentral:rRNA from 1 species